GCGCACCAGGCGAGAAACCUCCGCAAUACACGAAAGUGUGACGGGGCCAUCCCGAGUGCCGUCCGCUGAGGACGGCUUUUCCCCAGUGUACACAGCUGGGGGAAUAAGGAGAGGGCAAGCCUGGUGUCAGCCGCCGCGGUAAUACCAGCUCUCCGAGUGGUGGGGACGCUUAUUGGGCCUAAAGCAUCCGUAGCCGGCUGGGCAAGUCCUCCGUUAAAUCCAACGAUUCAAUCGUUGGGCUGCGGGGGAUACUGUCCAGCUUGGGGGCGGGAGAGGCCGACGGUAUUCCCGGGGUAGGGGUGAAAUCCUAUAAUCCCGGGAGGACCACCAGCGGCGAAGGCUGUCGGCUAGAACGCGCCCGACGGUGAGGGAUGAAAGCUGGGGGAGCGAACCGGAUUAGAUA
rnacentral:rRNA from 1 species